rnacentral:rRNA from 1 species
GCACGUAGUUAGCCGGUGCUUCUUAUCAAGGAUACCGUCAACCUCAGUCUAUGUUAGAGACUAAGUUUUCUUCCCUUGCGAAAGAGCUUUACAACCCGAAGGCCUUCUUCACUCACGCGGCAUGGCUGGAUCAGGCUUUCGCCCAUUGUCCAAAAUUCCCCA